AUUAGUGGCGAACGGGUGAGUAACACGUGAGUAACCUGCCCUUCACUCUGGGAUAAGCACUGGAAACGGUGUCUAAUACCGGAUACGACCUCCGACCGCAUGGUCAGGGGGUGGAAAGAAUUUUGGUGGAGGAUGGACUCGCGGCCUAUCAGGUAGUUGGUGAGGUAAUGGCUCACCAAGGCGACGACGGGUAGCCGGCCUGAGAGGGUGACCGGCCACACUGGGACUGAGACACGGCCCAGACUCCUACGGGAGGCAGCAGUGGGGAAUAUUGCACAAUGGGCGCAAGCCUGAUGCAGCAACGCCGCGUGAGGGAUGAAGGCCUUCGGGUUGUAAACCUCUUUCAGCAGGGACGAAGCGAGAGUGACGGUACCUGCAGAAGAAGCACCGGCCAACUACGUGCCAGCAGCCGCGGUAAUACGUAGGGUGCAAGCGUUGUCCGGAAUUAUUGGGCGUAAAGAGCUCGUAGGCGG
rnacentral:rRNA from 1 species